rfam:Exophiala mesophila strain CBS 40295 unplaced genomic scaffold supercont1.3, whole genome shotgun sequence.
UCCUCGAUGGUCUAGUGGUCAUGAUUUCCGCUUGUCACUACCCAGUAACGAGCGCGGGAGACCAGGGUUCGAUUCCCUGUCGGGGAG